rnacentral:lncRNA from 1 species
GAACUUCUGUAGUAGGAGCUCGACUGAUGUCUGCUGAAGAUGAAUGCAGGUUUCUCAAUUCCGAAGGAGAACAAUGUCACUAAUUCUUUGUUGUCCAGUAGUUCUCAUAUCAAUGCAUCAGAAUCAUUAGGAAGACUUGUUGAAAGGCAGGUUGCUGGACUCCAACCGCAGAAUUUUCAUUUUGGAGAUCUGGAGCAGAAAAGAGGAUAUAUGUCUUCCAGAGUGAUGUGCAUUCUCCUGUUCUGGGGACUUCUGAGAAACACUGGUCUAAGAUGGGCAUGCAGCUUGACGUUUGCAGAGGAGACAGUCUGUAGCAUUUCCCUG